GGUGUAAGUGGUGCGGGGAGGCCCGUGCGCCGUCGACGGAGAUCUUGCCCGUAAGUACUACCCCUGAAAGGGUUCGUGGAUGACACAUAGCACAGAAGAGAAUGAAUUAAAAGCUGAAACUGAUGAGGAAGAUUUAAUAUCAGAAGAAAAGGAGUGUGAGUGAAGCGGAAGUUAGAUUGAAAAAUAAAUUUCAUUGGUCAGGCUUUGACUGAUGCAAGCCAAAUUCAUCCAUGACCUGUUUUGCUCAAUUUCCCCUGUUGGCAUGAUGGAACAAAAAAUGCAAGUUAAAGUAGUGGUUAAACUAGUUCAAUAAGGUAUUGGUUAAGCUUGCCCUGUGUUGUAAUAGUUAUUGAAAAUCUUUCUAUCCAUUUUAGAGGA